AACUGAAAACCUGCUAAGAAACUUUGAACAAACGUGGCCAAAGUUGGAUGAAAAUUACAAUUUUUCGACCAUUACGGAUUUUACCUGGUCUGAAGUUGGAGUGUAUUAUUUGACCAUUUUUUGGACAGGUGCGGGAGCUGCCGGCCAUUUGCCCUAGCAGGCGGAGAGAGGUCGUGGAGUGUCAGCCUAUGGUAUCUGAGGUCCAGGAGAGAUGACCUGCGCUGUUUUCCUCUGAGGAGAUAUCUGAAAAUUUCAUCGGAUCACAAGCAAAGACCUCCUGGGGACCUUCAAUGCAUCCCUUGACAAAGUUGUGCCUGGCCUGCUGAAACUGUACUGGUCUAAGAAGGGAGCUCUUGGUGAGGAGAUGGAAGACCUCCUGGAUAAACUUGAUGAACAGACAUCCAACACUGUGUCCAAUGGGCACUGAGAGGCCUGCCCAUUUUCCUCAAGAGAAGAUGCAACAGAGGUUUUCCUGAAGUGCUUAGACACUGACAUUUUGGAACCAGUGUUGAACGGUGCAUCAGUUGCCAUCCUCACCAUCCUACAAGAUGACGAUGCUGAUACGUCUGUGCGAGAACAUGCAGUUGUGUUGGAAGGGGACAUCGUGCUACAUAACAUUCCAGAUCUCUCUACUGCCCUGGCACACCUCUUUGGCCUUCUGUAUGCCCUCAACAUUGAUUAUCCAAAGCAGAUGAGUUUUACCUUUGAAGCAAUUCAGGCCAUCUUAUUUUGGCCUGGUCGGACAAUAUGAAGGUGAAGUGGAUAAAUCAUUAUUCGAAAUGUAAAUUUUAGUCAGAUGAAUCUGUAUUGUUGAGAAUAUAUGGUGAAAAUUUGUCUUGUAGUAUUUUAAAAGAUUUGUUAUAGUGUUAGUUUCCUCUUCAUUGAUGGUAACAUUUCUAAGAACUUUUAACUUCCAUAGUUCAUCAUAGUAAGCCUGUGUAAAA